rnacentral:rRNA from 1 species
AACGCGAAGAACCUUACCAAGGCUUGACAUACACUGGAAAACCCUAGAGAUAGGGUCCCCCUUGUGGUCGGUGUACAGGUGGUGCAUGGUUGUCGUCAGCUCGUGUCGUGAGAUGUUGGGUUAAGUCCCGCAACGAGCGCAACCCUCGUUCUGUGUUGCCAGCGGGUUAUGCCGGGGACUCACAGGAGACUGCCGGGGUCAACUCGGAGGAAGGUGGGGAUGACGUCAAAUCAUCAUGCCCCUUAUGUCUUGGGCUGCACACGUGCUACAAUGGCCGGUACAAAGAGCUGCGAUGCCGUGAGGCGGAGCGAAUCUCAAAAAGCCGGUCUCAGUUCGGAUUGGGGUCUGCAACUCGACCCCAUGAAGUCGGAGUUGCUAGUAAUCGCAGAUCAGCAUUGCUGCGGUGAAUACGUUCCCGGGCCUUGUACACACCG